rnacentral:rRNA from 1 species
UGCCCAAGAGAUCGGGAUAACACCUGGAAGCAGAUGCUAAUACCGGAUAAUAACAGAUGAUGCCUAUCAACUGUUUAAAAGAUGGUUCUGCUAUCACUCUUGGAUGGACCUGCGGUGCAUUAGCUAGUUGGUAGGGUAACGGCCUACCAAGGCGAUGAUGCAUAGCCGAGUUGAGAGACUGAUCGGCCACAUUGGGACUGAGACACGGCCCAAACUCCUACGGGAGGCAGCAGUU